GAGUUUGAUCAUGGCUCAGGAUGAACGCUGGCGGCGUGCCUAACACAUGCAAGUCGAACGGGGUUAUUUUGGAAAGUUCCUUCGGGGACUGGAAUCUAUAACCUAGUGGCGGACGGGUGAGUAACGCGUGAGCAAUCUGCCUUUAGGAGGGGAUAACAGUCGGAAACGGCUGCUAAUACCGCAUAAUACGUUUGGGAGGCAUCUCCCUAACGUCAAAAGAUUUUACGCCUUUAGAUGAGCUCGCGUCUGAUUAGCUAGUUGGCGGGUAAC
rnacentral:rRNA from 1 species